CUCGUCUAGGGAGUGUGGGAAGCGACGUCUUGCUGAGUUGCUGCAUGGUUGCUCCUACAGCUGUCUCAUCACUCUCCGUGGGAAUGAAAUAAGGUAACAAUCCCCAGAUGGCUGAGCUUCUGGGAGGGUUCUAGUGUUACCUGCAAGAAUGCAGCUUAGGAGGGACAGGGAGGCUUGUGUCUGCGACUGGCACACCUUGUUGGCUUCCCCGAAGCAAGGAAGCCGCCCUGGAGGAUCCUAAGAGGACUUGCAUCUUAAGGAUAAGCCCAGGGUAUUGCAUGGAGGCCACUCACUGUGGCCCAGGGUCCCCUGAUGUCAUGGAACCACGGCCUGAGGCAACUGGCCAGCAUGCCAUAGGGACCAAUCAACCAGGGCAGGAUCACCAUCAAGCAGUUUGAGGAUCGUUUUCAAUGGAAGAAAACGAGAAGCAGAAGGUGGAACGCCACCCCCCUCGAGGUACGAUUUGUAGUUGUCAGGUGUCCACUAAGUGACAUGACAGAGGCAGACCUGCUUUGGCACCUUCAGGGUCCCACUUGGUGGCACGUUAGCCAUAGGUCCUUCUCUGCCCC